rnacentral:lncRNA from 1 species
GAACAGAUGAAACACCUAAUUGCAGUCCAAGUGGAGGAACAAAAGAAAUGCUUAAUUGUGAUCGAAUUUUUGGAACAGAUGAAAUACUUAAUUGCAAUCAAAGUAUCGGAACAUAUGAAUCGCCUAAUUGCAAUCAAAAUAUCAGAACAUAUGAAUCGCCUAAUUGCAAUCAAAGUAUUGAAAGAUAUGAAACAUUAAAUUGCAAUCAAAGUGUUGGAACAUAUGAAACGUCUAUUUGCGAUCAAAGUGUUGGAGCAGAUGAAACGUUUAAUUGUGAUCAAAGUGUUGGAACAGAUGAAACACCUAUUUGCGAUCAAAGUGUUGGAACAGAU